rnacentral:tRNA from 5 species
AAGGAUUUAAGUUAAAAAAACUCACAACCUUCAAAGUUGUAAAUAAAGGAAAGAGCUUUAAGCCUUA